rnacentral:tRNA from 1 species
GGAGAGGUGGCGGAGUGGUCGAUCGCGCCGGUCUCGAAAACCGGAAUACCUGCAAGGGUAUCGAGGGUUCGAAUCCCUCCCUCUCCGCCA